rnacentral:rRNA from 1 species
CAUAAACGACUCUCGGCAACGGAUAUCUYGGCUCACGCAUCGAUGAAGAACGUAGCAAAAUGCGAUACUUGGUGUGAAUUGCAGAAUCCCGUGAACCAUCGAGUUUUUGAACGCAAGUUGCGCCCGAAGCCCUUUGGCUGAGGGCACGUCUGCCUGGGCGUCACAC